ensembl:snoRNA Small nucleolar RNA MBII-202
UGAUGACAAAACUCCGGAAUCUCUGUAUUUCUUUGAUGAAACACUUGAACCCUUUUUUCUGAUGACUGCUCUGAAAAAUAUAGU